rnacentral:rRNA from 1 species
CAGUAGCCGCGGUAAAACGUAGGGUGCAAGCGUUAAUCGGAAUUACUGGGCGUAAAGCGCACGUAGGCGGCUUUGUAAGUUAGAGGUGAAAGCCUGGAGCUCAACUCCAGAAUUGCCUUUAAGACUGCAUCGCUUGAAUCGCGGAGAGGUGAGUGGAAUUCCGAGUGUAGAGGUGAAAUUCGUAGAUAUUCGGAAGAACACCAGUGGCGAAGGCGGCUCACUGGACGCGUAUUGACGCUGAGGUGCGAAAGCGUGGGGAGCAAACAGGAUUAGAUACCCCCGUAGUCCCUGUCUCUUAUAC